rnacentral:rRNA from 1 species
CCCGCUGUCCGGCCCGUAUGGUCUGGGCGGCCAAGCGAAAGCGUUAAGUAUCCCACCUGGGGAGUACGCCGGCAACGGUGAAACUCAAAGGAAUUGACGGGGGCCCGCACAAGCGGAGGAACAUGUGGUUUAAUUCGAUGAUACGCGAGGAACCUUACCCGGGCUUGAAUUGCAGGAGAAUGAUUCAGAGAUGAUGAAGUCCCUCGGGACUCCUGUGAAGGUGCUGCAUGGUUGUCGUCAGCUCGUGCCGUGAGGUGUCGGCUCAAGUGCCAUAACGAGCGCAACCCCUCUCCGCAGUUGCCAUCGGGUCAUGCCGGGCACUCUGCGGACACUGCCGCCGCAAGGUGCGAGGAAGGUGGGGAUGACGUCAAAUCAGCACGGCCCUUACGUCCGGGGCCACACACGUGUUACAAUGGCCGGUACAGAGGGCUGUCCGCAUGCAAGUGCGGGUGAAUCCCGAAAUCCGGUCCCAGUUCGGACUGGGGUCUGCAACCCGACCCCACGAAGCUGGAUUCGCUAGUAAUCGCGCAUCAGCCAUGGCGCGGUGAAUACGUUCCCGGGCCUUGUACACACCGCCCGUCAAGCCAUGAAAGCCGGGGGUGCCUGAAGUCCGUGACCGCGAGGGUCGGCCUAGGGCAAAACCGGUGAUUGGGGCUAAGUCGUAACAAGGUAGCCGUACCGGAAGGUGCGGCUG